AUGUUGGCCGGGCGACGGUUGCCCCGGUUUAAGCGUGUAGGUGUGUGUUCCAGGUAAAUCCGGUUCACUUUAACACUGAGGCGUGAUGACGAGGCACUACGGUGCUGAAGUAACAAAUGCCCUGCUUCCAGGAAAAGCCUCUAAGCAUCAGGUAACAUCAAAUCGUACCCCAAACCGACACAGGUGGUCAGGUAGAGAAUACCAAGGCGCUUGAGAGAACUCGGGUGAAGGAACUAGGCAAAAUGGUGCCGUAACUUCGGGAGAAGGCACGCUGACACGUAGGUGAAGUGAUUUACUCAUGGAGCUGAAGUCAGUCGAAGAUACCAGCUGGCUGCAACUGUUUAUUAAAAACACAGCACUGUGCAAACACGAAAGUGGACGUAUACGGUGUGACGCCUGCCCGG
rnacentral:rRNA from 1 species